AUGAGGACAUAACACGCCCCCGCCAGUCACGCCUGUGUUAAAUUCCCGGCUGAGGUGGGAAACGCAGCUCCCGAAGGCGGGAGGCGAGGCCAGGAGCAGCUCCAGCCCCCUGCGCGGGGUCCCUUCCCCGACGUGAACAGGCAGGUGCCCUCGUGGCUACGAUCACACGAGAGGGAGGACCGUGUGCCACGACCCGGCUCUCAGACCACGGCGUGAACCUGUGGACACGCUGGAGGGCAGAGGAGAACUGAGCAGAAAACAGUCGGAUUUGUCUACAAGAUAUGACACUGUGGGGCUGGGAAGUGGCACCGAAUCGGAGGAGACACUCAGAAAAACUGACCUACGAUGGAACCACACCAAGAACGAGGAACGGAGGGACAGGAGACGAACGACCCAGAGAGUUCUGACACUUGUCUCCACGUCCCCGAAUGAAUGAGUUCUAGGACGGGGACCUCAACAGAGGCGGCAGGCGGCUGAAUGGGUAUUUCGGAAUCGUCACAUUGUAUGCUUUAAACAUUAUGGUUUGUUUUGAAUA